UUGGACCGCCCACGAGGGGAGGGAGAGACCCACAUGCUCCUUUUCUCUUACAUGGACUUGCUGCCUCCUAGACAUUAAUCCCUUUACCCUUCCUGUAAAUCUGCGUCUUCCCAGCCAACCUGUGGUGUGUCAAACCCUGGAUGAAGUGACUUUGUGGUAGGACUGUUGGAAUGUGUCAAGAAGCUGAGAGAAUGGUGGGGUUUUCCUAUGGACACAAUCCCUGUUCAGGUUGACAGAGGUCAAGUGUCCAGACUCUAGACUUGUUUCAGCAACAGUCUAG